UACAGAGGGUGCAAACGUUGUUCGGAAUUACUGGGCGUAAAGCGCGUGCAGGCGGCCUUGCAAGUCGGACGUGAAAUCCCACGGCUCAACCGUGGAAGUGCAUUCGAAACUGCGAGGCUGGAGUCCUGGAGAGGAAAGUGGAAUACUCGGUGUAGAGGUGAAAUUCGUAGAUAUCGAGUGGAACACCGGUGGCGAAGGCGGCAUCCUGGACCAAUUCUGACACUGAGGAGCGAAAGCCAGGGGAGCAAACGGG
rnacentral:rRNA from 1 species